rnacentral:rRNA from 1 species
GAGUAAUGUCUGGGAAACUGCCUGAUGGAGGGGGAUAACUACUGGAAACGGUAGCUAAUACCGCAUAACGUCGCAAGACCAAAGAGGGGGACCUUCGGGCCUCUUGCCAUCGGAUGUGCCCAGAUGGGAUUAGCUUGUUGGUGGGGUAACGGCUCACCAAGGCGACGAUCCCUAGCUGGUCUGAGAGGAUGACCAGCCACACUGGAACUGAGACACGGUCCAGACUCCUACGGGAGGCAGCAGUGGGGAAUAUUGCACAAUGGGCGCAAGCCUGAUGCAGCCAUGCCGCGUGUAUGAAGAAGGCCUUCGGGUUGUAAAGUACUUUCAGCGGGGAGGAAGGGAGUAAAGUUAAUACCUUUGCUCAUUGACGUUACCCGCAGAAGAAGCACCGGCUAACUCCGUGCCAGCAGCCGCGGUAAUACGGAGGGUGCAAGCGUUAAUCGGAAUUACUGGGCGUAAAGCGCACGCAGGCGGUUUGUUAAGUCAGA